rnacentral:lncRNA from 1 species
UGGAAAAUCAGAUUUAUUGUUUAACUAUUGAGCAACGGACAUAUCACCUCUAAACUCUAUAAAUAGAGGUCAUUUGAACUCAUUUGGCAAGAACAACAUCUAUCAAUUAUCUAUAAACAUCUUGAUAUUAUUUUUGCAUCAUUUUAGAGAUUUUGUUGAGCUAUUUGAGAGACAACUUUGUGUUGUUCAUUGAGCUAAUAUUGUAUCUCUUUAUCUACUCUUCUUAGAGAGUCUUUGUUGUAAAAGAGAGAAAUU